rnacentral:rRNA from 1 species
AUGGGCGCAAGCCUGAUGCAGCCAUGCCGCGUGUGUGAAGAAGGCCUUCGGGUUGUAAAGCACUUUCAGUCGUGAGGAAGGUAGUGUAGUUAAUAGCUGCAUUAUUUGACGUUAGCGACAGAAGAAGCACCGGCUAACUCCGUGCCAGCAGCCGCGGUAAUACGGAGGGUGCGAGCGUUAAUCGGAAUUACUGGGCGUAAAGCGCAUGCAGGUGGUUUGUUAAGUCAGAUGUGAAAGCCCGGGGCUCAACCUCGGAAUAGCAUUUGAAACUGGCAGACUAGAGUACUGUAGAGGGGGGUAGAAUUUCAGGUGUAGCGGUGAAAUGCGUAGAGAUCUGAAGGAAUACCGGUGGCGAAGGCGGCCCCCUGGACAGAUACUGACACUCAGAUGCGAAAGCGUGGGGAGCAAACAGGAUUAGAUACCCUGGUAGUCCACGCCGUAAACGAUGUCUACUCUGGAGGUUGUGGCCUUGAGCCGUGGCUUUCGGAGCUAACGCGUUAAGUAGACCGCCUGGG